rnacentral:rRNA from 1 species
ACGCGAAAGCUCCCUUCGGGGAGCAAGUAGAGUGGCGCACGGGUGAGUAACACGUAGGUAAUCUACCUUUGGAUGGGGAAUAACAACCGGAAACGGUUGCUAAUACCGCAUAAUGCAGCGGCACCUAAUGGUGACAGUUGUUAAAGCGGGGGAUCGCAAGACCUCGCGUCUGAAGAGGAGCCUGCGGCAGAUUAGCUAGUUGGUAAGGUAACGGCUUACCAAGGCGAUGAUCUGUAGCCGGCCUGAGAGGGCGGUCGGCCACACUGACACUGACAUACGGGUCAGACUCCUACGGGAGGCAGCAGUCGGGAAUUUUGGGCAAUGGGCGAAAGCCUGACCCAGCAACGCCGCGUGAAGGAUGAAAUCCCUCGGGAUGUAAACUUCACAAGAACGGGAAGAAUAAGUAAGAGUUAAUAUCUCUUACGAUGACGGUACUGUUUGUAAGCUCCGGCUAACUCCGUGCCAGCAGCCGCGGUAAUACGGGGGGAGCAAGCGUUG